rnacentral:rRNA from 1 species
GGAGUGUCCAGGGGAAUGAGAAGCGAACAUAAGGAUACCUGGUGGUGGAAUGAUGAUGUCCAUAAGGCAAUUAAAGAGAAGAAAGAUUGCUUUAGACGCCUAUACCUGGAUAGGAGUGCAGACAACAUAGAGAAGUACAAGAUGGCGAAGAAGGCUGCAAAGCGAGCUGUUGGUGAAGCAAGGGGUCGGGCAUAUGAGGACCUCUACCAACGGUUAGGCACGAAGGAAGGCGAAAGGGACAUCUAUAAGAUGGCCAAGAUCCGAGAGAGGAAGACGAGGGAUAUUGGCCAAGUAAAAUGCAUCAAGGACGGAGUAGGCCAACUCUUGGUGAAGGACGAGGAGAUUAAACAAAGAUGGCGGGAGUAC